rnacentral:lncRNA from 1 species
AACCCAGCUGGAGCCUCUAAAUGGGCGGAAGAACACUGAAGGGAAUGGAACACUGGCAAAAAGAGUGAGGUCAGGGAACAUGGUGGAUAAGGGGAAUCCUGGGCUUUCACUGUGGGUAGUGAGGAUUACCGCAAACCUGAAGCCCCUCAAAGCUGACUCAAGAGCAGGUUUAAUGGAGAAGCACAUGGCAAAAUCAUCGGUCUCCACCUGCAUCUUACCUAGCACAGUAUUGUGCACAUACUCGGAGGUCAACGAACACUUAGAUUGACUAGGAUAAUGGUGGUUUUAAAGGUAUUAUGUGUAUUUAUAAAUGACUGCAGUGAAUUUAGGGAGCUGUUGGACUCAGUGUCAGUGUUACUGGGGGAAAUGGAUUUCUGAACCACAUCCUAGGACCAAACUAAUGAUCCGAAUCACAUCAAGUGUGGCAGUGGCACAGCAAGAAUUUAACUCUUUAUUUAUUCCCCAGCUUUGUUAGGAUUCUCUUUGGUCAGCAGGUGUUGCAGGACAGCUGCAUGCUCUGUAGGGAACCCGGGGGGCAGGGAAAAGCCCUGCUGAGGUCGCCGGCAUCUGUUCCUCCCUCUGCAGCUACCUCACGUCCAUUACUUCUGAAUUCUUGGCCGGGAACUUUUGAAGAUUAACUCCUCCCUCCCCUCAAAGAAAAGAUGGAAAUGAUGUUGUUUCUAGAAGUUUGUCUGUAUGAUGACCCAAGAUAUCACCUCUGAUGUUUCAAGAACUACUUUAUUCCAUGGGAUUUAAAGUGCCUGUAUUUUCAGAAAAGAAGGGAAACUUCAAGUCAUGGCAAUCAUAAUGCGAGUCCUUUCCUUUGAAAAUUGCACCUCUCCUCACAGGAGGAGUUGCAAACUUGAGUGGCACCUAAUCUUUGCUGAGAAGCACCCUGAGGAUUUCUCCACAAGAC